rnacentral:rRNA from 1 species
UCCUACGGGAGGCAGCAGUGGGGAAUAUUGCACAAUGGGCGCAAGCCUGAUGCAGCAACGCCGCGUGAGGGACGAAGGCCUUCGGGUUGUAAACCUCUUUUAGUAGGGAAGAAGCGACUGGGUUUUCCUGUGAGUGACGGUACCUGCAGAAAAAGCACCGGCUAACUACGUGCCAGCAGCCGCGGUAAUACGUAGGGUGCAAGCGUUGUCCGGAAUUAUUGGGCGUAAAGAGCUCGUAGGCGGUUUGUCGCGUCUGCUGUGAAAACCCGAGGCUCAACCUCGGGCCUGCAGUGGGUACGGGCAGACUAGAGUGCGGUAGGGGAGAUUGGAAUUCCUGGUGUAGCGGUGGAAUGCGCAGAUAUCAGGAGGAACACCAAUGGCGAAGGCAGAUCUCUGGGCCGUAACUGACGCUGAGGAGCGAAAUCAUGGGGAGCGAACAGGAUUAGAUACCCUGGUAGUCCAUGCCGUAAACGUUGGGAACUAGAUGUGGGGACCAUUCCACGGUCUCCGUGUCGCAGCUAACGCAUUAAGUUCCCCGCCUGGGGAGUACGGCCGCAAGGCUAAAACUCAAAGGAAUUGACGGGGGCCCGCACAAGCGGCGGAGCAUGCGGAUUAAUUCGAUGCAACGCGAAGAACCUUACCAAGGCUUGACAUAUACCGGAAACGGCUGGAAACAGUCGCCCCGCAAGGUCGGUAUACAGGUGGUGCAUGGUUGUCGUCAGCUCGUGUCGUGAGAUGUUGGGUUAAGUCCCGCAACGAGCGCAACCCUCGUCCUAUGUUGCCAGCACGUAAUGGUGGGAACUCAUGGGAUACUGCCGGGGUCAACUCGGAGGAAGGUGGGGAUGACGUCAAAUCAUCAUGCCCCUUAUGUCUUGGGCUUCACGCAUGCUACAAUGGCCGGUACAAAGGGCUGCGAUACCGCAAGGUGGAGCGAAUCCCAAAAAGCCGGUCUCAGUUCGGAUUGAGGUCUGCAACUCGACCUCAUGAAGUCGGAGUCGCUAGUAAUCGCAGAUCAGCAACGCUGCGGUGAAUACGUUCCCGGGCCUUGUACACACCGCC